rnacentral:rRNA from 1 species
AUAACCUACUAUAAGACUGGGGUAACUUCGGGAAACCGGAGCUAAUACCGGAUAAUAUAUUGAACCGCAUGGUUCAAUAGUGAAAGACGGUUUUGCUGUCACUUAUAGAUGGAUCCGCGCCGCAUUAGCUAGUUGGUAAGGUAACGACUUACCAAGGCAACGAUGCGUAGCCGACCUGAGAGGGUGAUCGGCCACACUGGAACUGAGACACGGUCCAG